GACGAACGCUGGCGGCGUGCCUAAUACAUGCAAGUCGAGCGAAGCGGCGGAUGGGUGAGUAACGCGUGAGUAACCUGCCCUUAAGUCUGGAAUACCAUUUACAACCGCAUGCUAAUACCGGAUACUAAAGGAUUGACCUGCGAUGCAUUAGCUAGUUGGUAAGGUAACGGCUUACCAAGGCGACGAUGCAUAGCCGAGCUGAGAGGAUGAUAGGCAACAUUGGGACUGAGACACGGCCCAGACUCCUACGGGAGGCAGCAGUAGGGAAUCUUCCACAAUGGACGAAAGUCUGAUGGAGCAACGCCGCGUGAGUGAAGAAGGUUUUCGGAUCGUAAAGCUCUGUUGUUGGGGAAGCGGUAUUCAACCAGAAAGUCACGGCUAACUACGUGCCAGCAGCCGCGGUAAUUC
rnacentral:rRNA from 1 species